AUUGAACGCUGGCGGCAGGCCUAACACAUGCAAGUCGAACGAGUGGCGGACGGGUGAGUAAUGUAUGGGAAACUGCCCGGUGGAGGGGGAUAACUACUGGAAACGGUAGCUAAUACCGCAUACUAUCGGAUGCGCCCAGAUUGGAUUAGCUAGUAGGUGGGGUAAAGGCUCACCUAGGAGACGAUCCCUAGCUGGUCUGAUAGGCUGACCAGCCCCACUGGAACUGAGACACGGUCCAGACUCCUACGGGAGGCAGCAGUGGGGAAUAUUUCACAAUGGGCGCAAGCCUGAUGCAGCCAUGCCGCGUGUAUGAAGAAGGCCUUCGGGUUGUAAAGUACUUUCAGCGGGGAGGCGUUACUCGCAGAAGAAGCACCGGCUAACUCCGUGCCAGCAGCCGCGGUAAUAC
rnacentral:rRNA from 1 species